GACGAACGCUGGCGGCGUGCCUAAUACAUGCAAGUAGAACGCUGAAGGAGGAGCUUGCUCUUCUGGAUGAGUUGCGAACGGGUGAGUAACGCGUAGGUAACCUGCCUGGUAGCGGGGGAUAACUAUUGGAAACGAUAGCUAAUACCGCAUAACAGUAGAUGUUGCAUGACAUUUGCUUAAAAGGUGCAAUUGCACCACUACCAGAUGGACCUGCGUUGUAUUAGCUAGUUGGUGGGGUAACGGCUCACCAAGGCGACGAUACAUAGCCGACCUGAGAGGGUGAUCGGCCACACUGGGACUGAGACACGGCCCAGACUCCUACGGGAGGCAGCAGUAGGGAAUCUUCGGCAAUGGACGGAAGUCUGACCAAGCAACGCCGCGUGAGUGAAGAAGGUUUUCGGAUCGUAAAGCUCUGUUGUAAGAGAAGAACGAGUGUGAGAGUGGAAAGUUCACACUGUGACGGUAUCUUACCAGAAAGGGACGGCUAACUACGUG
rnacentral:rRNA from 1 species